ACGGGCUAUUAGCUCAGUGGUAGAGCGCGCCCCUGAUAAUUGACGGGCGAGGUCUCUGGUUCAAGUCCAGGAUGGCC
rnacentral:tRNA from 3 species